rnacentral:rRNA from 1 species
AGAGUUUGAUCCUGGCUCAGGAUGAACGCUGGCGGCGUGCCUAACACAUGCAAGUUGAGCGAUUUACUUCGGUAAAGAGCGGCGGACGGGUGAGUAACGCGUGGGUAACCUACCCUGUACACACGGAUAACAUACCGAAAGGUAUGCUAAUACGUGAUAAUAUAUUUGAGAGGCAUCUCUUAAAUAUCAAAGGUGAGCCAGUACAGGAUGGACCCGCGUCUGAUUAGCUAGUUGGUA